rnacentral:rRNA from 1 species
GAUGAACGCUGGCGGCGUGCCUAAUACAUGCAAGUCGAGCGAACAGACGAGGAGCUUGCUCCUCUGACGUUAGCGGCGGACGGGGGAGUAACACGUGGAUAACCUACCUAUAAGACUGGGAUAACUUCGGGAAACCGGAGCUAAUACCGGAUAAUAUAUUGAACCGCAUGGUUCAAUAGUGAAAGACGGUUUUGCUGUCACUUAUAGAUGGAUCCGCGCCGCAUUAGCUAGUUGGUAAGGUAACGGCUUACCAAGGCAACGAUGCGUAGCCGACCUGAGAGGGUGAUCGGCCACACUGGAACUGAGACCCGGUCCAGACUCCUACGGGAGGCAGCAGUAGGGAAUCUUCCGCAAUGGGCGAAAGCCUGACGGAGCAACGCCGCGUGAGUGAUGAAGGUCUUCGGAUCGUAAAACUCUGUUAUUAGGGAAGAACAAAUGUGUAAGUAACUAUGCACGUCUUGACGGUACCUAAUCAGAAAGCCACGGCUAACUACGUG